rnacentral:rRNA from 1 species
ACGAACGCUGGCGGCAGGCUUAACACAUGCAAGUCGAGCGAGACCUUCGGGUCUAGCGGCGGACGGGUGAGUAACGCGUGGGAACGUGCCCUUCUCUACGGAAUAGCCCCGGGAAACUGGGAGUAAUACCGUAUACGCCCUUUGGGGGAAAGAUUUAUCGGAGAAGGAUCGGCCCGCGUUGGAUUAGGUAGUUGGUGGGGUAAUGGCCCACCAAGCCGACGAUCCAUAGCUGGUUUGAGAGGAUGAUCAGCCACACUGGGACUGAGACACGGCCCAGACUCCUACGGGAGGCAGCAGUGGGGAAUCUUAGACAAUGGGGGCAACCCUGAUCUAGCCAUGCCGCGUGAGUGAUGAAGGCCUUAGGGUUGUAAAGCUCUUUCAGCUGGGAAGAUAAUGACGGUACCAGCAGAAGAAGCCCCGGCUAACUCCGUG